rnacentral:rRNA from 1 species
GAUCAUGGCUCAGGAUGAACGCUACGCGGCAGGCUUAACACAUGCAAGUCGAGGGGCAGCACGAGGUAGCAAUACUUUGGUGGCGACCGGCGCACGGGUGCGUAACGCGUAUGCAACCUACCUUUAACAGGGGCAUAACACUGAGAAAUUGGUACUAAUUCCCCAUAACAUUCGAGAAGGCAUCUUCUUGGGUUAAAAACUCCGGUGGUUAAAGAUGGGCAUGCGUUGUAUUAGCUAGUUGGUGAGGUAACGG